CAAGUUAAGAUCUAGGAUUAAUUUUUAUUUACAUUAAAAAUUUAUUUGUGCAAUUCAAAUUGGCUUGA
rnacentral:tRNA from 1 species